rnacentral:rRNA from 1 species
GAUGAACGCUGGCGGCGUGCCUAAUACAUGCAAGUCGAGCGAACGGACGAGAAGCUUGCUUCUCUGAUGUUAGCGGCGGACGGGUGAGUAACACGUGGAUAACCUACCUAUAAGACUGGGAUAACUUCGGGAAACCGGAGCUAAUACCGGAUAAUCUUUUGAACCGCAUGGUUCAAAAGUGAAAGACGGUCUUGCUGUCACUUCUAGAUGGAUCCGCGCUGCAUUAGCUAGUUGGGAAGGUAACGGCUUACCAAGGCAACGAUGCAUAGCCGAACUGAGAGGGUGAUCGGCGACACUGGAACGGAGACACGGUCCAGACUCCUACGGGAGGCAGCAGUAGGGAAUCUUCCGCAAUGGGCGAAAGCCUGACGGAGCAACGCCGCGUGAGUGAUGAAGGUCUUCGGAUCGUAAAACUCUGUUAUUAGGGAAGAACAUAUGUGUAAGUAGCUGUGCACAUCUUGACGGUACCUAAUCAGAAAGCCACGGCUAACUACGUG